CCAGGGCAUCACCAGAAUGCUGUUAUACCUGUAUACAUGAUCUCUCUCUACAGGUAAAACCAGGGCAUCACCAGAAUGCUGUUAUACCUGUAUACAUGAUCUCUCUACAGGUAAAACCAGGGCAUCACCAGAAUGCUGUUAUACCUGUAUACAUGAUCUCUCUCUACAGGUAAAACCAGGGCAUCACCAGAAUGCUAUUAUACCUGUAUACAUGUUCUCUCUCUACAGAUAAAACCAGAGCAUCACCAGAAUGCUGGUAUACCUGUAUACAUGAUCUCUCUACAGGUAAAACCAGGGCAUCACCAGAAUGCUGUUAUACCUGUAUACAUGUUCUCUCUACAGGUAAAACCAGGGCAUCACCAGAAUGCUGUUAUACCUGUAUACAUCUCUUUCUACAGGUAAAACCAGGGCAUCACCAGAAUGCUGUUAUACCUGUAUACAUGUUCUCUCUCUACAGGUAAAACCAGGGCAUCACCAGAACACUAUUAUACCUGUAUACAUGUUCUCUCUCUACAGGUACAACCAGGGCAUCACCAGAACAUUGUUAUACCUGUAUACAUGAUCUCUCUCUACAGGUAAAACCAGGGCAUCACCAGAAUGCUGUUAUACCUGUAUACAUGAUCUAUUUCUACAGGUAAAACCAGGGCAUCACCAGAACACUAUUAUACCUGUAUACAUGUUCUCUCUCUACAGGUAAGUGGGAAUACCCAGACCAACCUUUUUCCCUGACAAGAGGAACUAUAAAGAUGGAAUGUAGGCAUUUUUACAUUUACAUUUACAUUUAAGUCAUUUAGCAGACGCUCUUAUCCAGAGCGACUUACAAAUUGGUGCAUUCACCUUAUGAUAUCCAGUGGAACAACCACUUUACAAUAGUGCUUCUAAAUCUUUUAAGGGGGG
rnacentral:lncRNA from 1 species